AUUGAACGCUGGCGGCAGGCUUAACACAUGCAAGUCGAGCGGGGUGAUGGUGCAUGCACUAUCACUUAGCGGCGGACGGGUGAGUAUGCUUAGGAAUCUGCCUAUUAGUGGGGGACAACAUCUCGAAAGGGAUGCUAAUACCGCAUACGUCCUACGGGAGAAAGCAGGGGAUCACUUGUGACCUUGCGCUAAUAGAUGAGCCUAAGUCGGAUUAGCUAGUUGGUGGGGUAAAGGCCUACCAAGGCGACGAUCUGUAGCGGGUCUGAGAGGAUGAUCCGCCACACUGGGACUGAGACACGGCCCAGACUCCUACGGGAGGCAGCAGUGGGGAAUAUUGGACAAUGGGGGGAACCCUGAUCCAGCCAUGCCGCGUGUGUGAAGAAGGCCUUAUGGUUGUAAAGCACUUUAAGCGAGGAGGAGGCUCUUUUGGUUAAUACCCAGGAUGAGUGGACGUUACUCGCAGAAUAAGCACCGGCUAACUCUGUGCCAGCCGCCGCAGUAAGAC
rnacentral:rRNA from 1 species